rfam:Enterococcus sp. 2G9_DIV0600 scaffold00001, whole genome shotgun sequence.
GACAACUUGCCCCUAAAAGGGGGUGGUGCUUUUAUGCUUCAACAAAUUCUCACGUUGGUUAUCGCCCCAAUUUUUUGCGGAUUGGAUCUGGAAAUGAUUUCUCGUUGGUUAGACGAGAAAGUCGAUGACUAAGAGCUAGUUGUCAUUAACCCACACGUUCCGAGUCGCAAUGAACGAAAAG